rnacentral:snRNA from 1 species
AUACUUACCUGAAUGGUGUCAAUGGAUGAUCAAGAAGGCUCAUGGCCUAGGGUAGUGACCUUCAUUGCACACAAAGGAGCGGUGCUAGCCUAAGGUCUAUCCAUGUGGUGGAUCCUACAUCAUAAUUUGUGGUUGUGGGGGCCAGCGUUCGCGCGCCCCUU